UACGAAGGGGGCUAGCGUUGCUCGGAAUCACUGGGCGUAAAGCGCACGUAGGCGGAUUGUUAAGUCGGGGGUGAAAUCCUGGAGCUCAACUCCAGAACUGCCUUCGAUACUGGCGAUCUUGAGUCCGGGAGAGGUGAGUGGAACUCCGAGUGUAGAGGUGAAAUUCGUAGAUAUUCGGAAGAACACCAGUGGCGAAGGCGGCUCACUGGCCCGGUACUGACGCUGAGGCGCGAAAGCGUGGGGAGCAAACAGG
rnacentral:rRNA from 1 species